CCCUUAGAUGUUCUGGGCCGCACGCGCGCUACACUGACGAAGUCAGCGAGCAUGUCCUACGCCGACAGGUGCGGGGAAUCUUGUCAAACUUCGUCGUGAUGGGGAUUGAUUUUUGAAAUUCUUGAUCAUAAACGAGGAAUUCCUAGUAAGCGCAAGUCAGCAGCUUGCGUUGAUUACGUCCCUGCCCUUUGUACACACCGCCCGUCGCUACUACCGAUUGAAUGGUUUAGUGAGAUCUUCGGAUUGGCGCCACUGCAGCUCAGCAAUGGGCUUGGUGGAUGCCGAAGAGUUGAUCGAACUUGAUCAUUUAGAGGAAGUAAAAGUCGUAACA
rnacentral:rRNA from 1 species